rnacentral:rRNA from 1 species
UGGGGAAUUUUGGACAAUGGGCGCAAGCCUGAUCCAGCCAUGCCGCGUGCGGGAAGAAGGCCUUCGGGUUGUAAACCGCUUUUGUCAGGGAAGAAAUCUUCUGAGUUAAUACCUCGGGAGGAUGACGGUACCUGAAGAAUAAGCACCGGCUAACUACGUGCCAGCAGCCGCGGUAAUACAUAGGGUGCAAGCGUUAAUCGGAAUUACUGGGCGUAAAGCGUGCGCAGGCGGUUUUGUAAGACAGAGGUGAAAUCCCCGGGCUCAACCUGGGAACUGCCUUUGUGACUGCAAGGCUUGAGUGCGGCAGAGGGGGAUGGAAUUCCGCGUGUAGCAGUGAAAUGCGUAGAUAUGCGGAGGAACACCGAUGGCGAAGGCAAUCCCCUGGGCCUGCACUGACGCUCAUGCACGAAAGCGUGGGGAGCAAACAGGAUUAGAUACCCUGGUAGUCCACGCCCUAAACGAUGUCAACUGGUUGUUGGGAAGGUUCCUUCUCAGUAACGUAGCUAACGCGUGAAGUUGACCGCCUGGGGAGUACGGCCGCAAGGUUGAAACUCAAAUGAAUUGACGGGGUCAUAGC